rnacentral:rRNA from 13 species
AACAACUCACCUGCCGAAUGAACUAGCCCUGAAAAUGGAUGGCGCUCAAGCGUGCUACCCAUACCUCGCCGUCAGGGUAGAAACGAUGCCCUGACGAGUAGGCAGGCGUGGAGGUCAGUGACGAAGCCUUGGGGGUGACCCCGGGUAGAACGGCCUCUAGUGCAGAUCUUGGUGGUAGUAGCAAAUACUCAAAUGAGAACUUUGAGGACUGAAGUGGGGAAAGGUUCCGUGUGAACAGCAGUUGGACACGGGUUAGUCGAUCCUAAGCCAUAGGGAAACUCCGUUUUAAAGUGCGCACUUGUGCGUCGCCCGGCGAAAGGGAAGCCGGUUAACAUUCCGGCACCUGGAUGUGGAUUCUCCACGGCAACGUAACUGAACGCGGAGACGUCGGCGGGGGUCCUGGGAAGAGUUCUCUUUUCUUCUUGACAGCCUAUCACCCUGAAAUCGGUUUGUCCGGAGCUAGGGUUCUAUGGCUGGCAGAGCCUCGCACCUUUGCGAGGUCCGGUGCGCCCCCGACGACCCUUGAAAAUCCGCGGGAAGGAAUAGUUUUCACGCUAGGUCGUACUCAUAACCGCAGCAGGUCUCCAAGGUGAACAGCCUCUAGUUGAUAGAACAAUGUAGAUAAGGGAAGUCGGCAAAAU